rnacentral:tRNA from 1 species
UCGAAAUUGUAGUUUAAUUAAAAUAUUGGCAUUGGAAGCCAAAGAAUAGGUUUUAGCCUACAUUUCGAA